GAAGAAUAANCACCAGCUAACUACGUGCCAGCAGCCGCGGUAAUACGUAGGGUGCGAGCGUUANUCGGAAUUACUGGGCGUAAAGCGGGCGCAGACGGUUACUUAAGCAGGAUGUGAAAUCCCCGGGCUCAACCUGGGAACUGCGUUNUGAACUGGGUGACUAGAGUGUGUCAGAGGGAGGUAGAACUCCACGUGUAGCAGUGAAAUGCGUAGAGAUGUGGAGGAAUACCGAUGGCGAAGGCAGCCUCCUGGGAUAACACUGACGUUCAUGCCCGAAAGCGUGGGUAGCAAACAGGAUUAGAUACCCUGGUAGUCCACGCCCUAAACGAUGUCGAUUAGCUGUUGGGCAGCAUGACUGCUUAGUAGCGAAGCUAACGCGUGAAAUCGACCGCCUGGGGAGUACGGUCGCAAGAUUAAAACUCAAAGGAAUUGACGGGGACCCGCACAAGCGGUGGAUGAUGUGGAUUAAUUCGAUGCAACGCGAAGAACCUUACCUGUCUUGACAUGUACGGAACCCUCCAGAGACGGAGGGGUGCCUUCGGGAGCCGUAACACAGGUGCUGCAUGGCUGUCGUCAGCUCGUGUCGUGAGAUGUUGGGUUAAGUCCCGCAACGAGCGCAACCCUUGUCAUUAGUUGCCAUCAUUAAGUUGGGCACUCUAAUGAGACUGCCGGUGACAAGCCGGAGGAAGGUGGGGAUGACGUCAAGUCCUCAUGGCCCUUAUGACCAGGGCUUCACACGUCAUACAAUGGUCGGUACAGAGGGUAGCCAAGCCGCGAGGUGGAGCCAAUCUCACAAAACCGAUCGUAGUCCGGAUUGCACUCUGCAACUCGAGUGCAUGAAGUCGGAAUCGCUAGUAAUCGCUGGUCAGCAUACUGCGGUGAAUACGUUCCCGGGUCUUGUACACACCGCCCGUCACACCAUGGGAGUGGGGGAUACCAGAAGUAGGUAGGGUAACCGCAAGGAGCCCG
rnacentral:rRNA from 1 species